UUAAUUGAAGAGUUUGAUCAUGGCUCAGAUUGAACGCUGGCGGCAGGCCUAACACAUGCAAGUCGAGCGGCAGCACAGAGGAACUUGUUCCUUGGGUGGCGAGCGGCGGACGGGUGAGUAAUGCCUGGGAAAUUGCCCGGUAGAGGGGGAUAACCAUUGGAAACGAUGGCUAAUACCGCAUAACCUCGUAAGAGCAAAGCAGGGGACCUUCGGGCCUUGCGCUAUCGGAUAUGCCCAGGUGGGAUUAGCUAGUUGGUGAGGUAAGGGCUCACCAAGGCGACGAUCCCUAGCUGGUCUGA
rnacentral:rRNA from 1 species